rnacentral:rRNA from 1 species
UACGUAGGGUGCAAGCGUUAUCCGGAAUUAUUGGGCGUAAAGAGCUCGUAGGCGGUUUGUCACGUCUGCUGUGAAAACUGGAGGCUCAACCUCCAGCCUGCAGUGGGUACGGGCAGACUAGAGUGCGGUAGGGGAGAUUGGAAUUCCUGGUGUAGCGGUGGAAUGCGCAGAGUAUCAGGAGGAACACCGAUGGCGAAGGCAGAUCUCUGGGCCGUAACUGACGCUGAGGAGAACGAAGCAUGGGG